AGCAAAAUACCUUUACAUUUCUAUAGUUUUAAAUAUUUCAUAGUUAAAAAAUUAAUAGGCAACCAUAAUAUCCUAUGGCAAAGCUUAGAGGAAGGUACCAUAGAAGGUAUGUGGUGCUAGAUAAUCCAUAGAAAAGUACCUAAUCCAAAUUAGGGGGGCUGGUAAGGAAAGGCUUCUGAACAAGGCAAAGACCUAUAAGCUACAACCUGAGAGAAACAUACUGGGACUGGGGGUGGGCCAGGAUGUGGUGGAGAUGAAAUUCUCUAAGAAGGUAAGGGGAAUUGAUGUGUUAAAGUCGUCAGAAUCAAAAUGGAGUCACUUGUGCCAAACUCUAACAAAUAUGGCCAAGAGGCUGAGAAGGGAAGGUUCUCAGGCACACAUGCUUAUGAUAAGAACGAUUACAAAGACUUUCUGAAGGGGGUCUUAUGCACGUAUUCCUAUAAAAAGGACUUUUUUUUAACUUUUUUUUUUAAGUUCAGGAGUGCAUGUGAAGAUCUGUUAUAUAGGUAAACUCAUUCAUGGCGGUUUGUUAUACAGAUUAUCUCGUCACCCAGGUAGUAAGCCUAAUACCCAAUAGUUAUUUUUUCUGAUCCUCUUCCUCUUCCCGUCCUUUAUCCUCAAGUAGGCUCCAGUGUCUGUUCCCUUCUUUGUGUCUGAGUUCUCAUCAUUUAGCUCCCAAACUUAUAAGCGAGAACAUGCAGUAUUUGGUUUUCUGUUCCUGCAUUAGUUUGCUAAGGAUAAUGGCCUCCAUUUCCAUCCGUGUUCCUGAAAAGGACAUGAUCUCAUUCUGUUUUAUUUUCCAAGGACUUCUCAAACUAGCUAGCCAGAUGCACAAGAACACUUGCUGGACACUGUCUCCACUAAUGAACUGGAAUCAACUCCUGCCAUAAGCCCCUGAGAAAUGAUAAAGGAGUCAUAAACCAUGAUCCUGAUGAUGGACUUCAUCCUGAGAAGAAGGUGAAUCAUAAAGAUUGUUCAGCUGCAGGGCAAGAGCGAUCCUAGAGACCAGGCUGUGAAGAGCUCCUGGGUUGCUGAACAAAUGGAGUUGCUGCAAGGAUGCCAUGCCUGGAGAGGGCCUGGAAGCCCUGUGCCACACCCCCAUGCCUUGCCCUAUGUACAUUUUCAUCUGCAUCAUUGGCAACAUCCUUUAUAAUAAACCAGUAAAAGAUGAUAUAGCAUGAAGGCCCUCACCAGACGCUGGUGCCAUGCUCUUGGACUUCCCAGUCUCCAGAACUGUGAGCCAAAUAAAC
rnacentral:lncRNA from 10 species